rnacentral:rRNA from 1 species
UAUUAAUUAAAUUGUUUAAUACAUGGUUUAUAAAUAGAGUCAAUUAAGUAAAAAUUUGUUAUUGUAGAAUUAAUUGAAAGGAUAAAUAUUACUAUAAGGUAUAAGUACUGUAAAGGAAAUUGGAGAUCUUAAUAUAAUUAAAUAAAGUAAAUUUUAAUAAUUGUAUCUUGUGUAUCAGAAUAUAUUAAAAUAGAUAAUUUAUUUUUUUAUUCUCGAAUUUAAAAGAUUUAAUUAGGUUAAUUGGUUAUUGUAUCAUAAAUAUUAAUAAUACUUAAUUGGUAAUGAAAUGUUAGUCGUUUUUAAGGAUAUCUAGUUUUUUAAUAAAUGAAUUUAAUUCAGAGUAUCUAAUUUAUUUAAUAUAUUAUUAUUAAGAUAUUUUAGGUUCUUAACUUUAAAGGGGAAUAUCUUUUUAAAGGAGGUUUAUAAUAAUAUAGUUUUUAGAAUUUUAUAAAUUUAAGAUUUGUUAUUGAUUUAAGGAUAUUAAAAUUUAGUUCUUGUUUUGUACUAUUUAAUUAUUAUUAUUUAAUUUUUUUAUUAAAAUAUUAGAUAAGAUUAAGAAAUUUUAGAAAAAAUGAUUUAAUUAGUAAAUUUGAUAUUAAUAAUUGUGUAAUGUGAUGAAAUGUUAAUAUAAAGAACUAGGCAAAUAUUUUACUCGUCUGUUUAUUAAAAACAUAGUUUCUUGAGCUAUGUAAGAAAUUUAACCUGCCCACUGAAGAAUUUUUGAAGGGCCGCAGUAUUUUGACUGUGCAAAGGUAGCAUAAUCAUUUGUCUUUUAAUUGAAGGCUGGAAUGAAUGGUUGAACGAGGUAAAAUCUGUUUUAUUUUAAUUUAAUUGAAUUUAAAUUUUAAGUGAAAAGGCUUAAAUGUUAUUAAGGGACGAGAAGACCCUAUAGAGUUUAAUAUAUUAAUUGAUUAAUUAAGUUAUAUGAAAGUUUUUAAUUAUUAAGAAGUAUAUUUAAUUGGGGUGAUUGAAAGAUAUAAGAACUCUUUUUUGAAUUUAAUAUUAUAUAUAAUUAUAGGAUCCAUAUUUAGUGAUUAGAAGAUUAAAUUACCUUAGGGAUAACAGCAUAAUUUUUUUUAAGAGUUCAUAUCGAAAAAGAAGAUUAUGACCUCGAUGUUGGAUUAAGAUAAAUUUAGGGUGUAGAUGUUCAAUAAUUAGGUCUGUUCGACCUUUAAAAUCUUACAUGAUCUGAGUUUAAACCGGUGUAAGCCAGGUUGGUUUCUAUCUUUAAAUUUAUUAGAUAUCUUAGUACGAAAGGACCAGGUAUUUGAAAUAAUUUUUAUUUAAUUGAAGAUUAUUAAGUUAU